GCCAGUGUGGUGUAGUGGUUAGCGUGUCGGACUAGGACCUGGGAGAUCAGGGUUCAAAUCCCCACUCAGUCA
rnacentral:tRNA from 1 species